UACGGAGGGAGCUAGCGUUGUUCGGAAUUACUGGGCGUAAAGCGCGCGUAGGCGGCUUUGUAAGUUAGAGGUGAAAGCCCGGGGCUCAACCCCGGAACUGCCUUUAAGACUGCAUCGCUUGAAUCCAGGAGAGGUGAGUGGAAUUCCGAGUGUAGAGGUGAAAUUCGUAGAUAUUCGGAAGAACACCAGUGGCGAAGGCGGCUCACUGGACUGGUAUUGACG
rnacentral:rRNA from 1 species